CCCCUCGCAGGGUCAGAGGGCCCGACUCCCCUCGCAGGGUCAGAGGGCCCGACUCCCCUCGCAGAGCCGAGCACCGAACGGGAUUAAACAUUUUAAAAAUGUCAGCUAUUCUGCGUGGCAUUAAUCCGAUGUGAGCGCUGCAACUUCCCUGAUAGACACAGAAGCAGAUUUAUAAAAUGGCUGACCUCCUUAUUCCAGGAGACAAUGAAUGACAGCAUCUCAAAUGGUAUCCUAGACUCUAUAUAGGCCACUACUGUUGACCCCCCCGAUAGGGAACUACUGUUGACCCGUGGCCCCCGAUAGGGCACUACUGUUGACCCGUGGCCCCCGAUAGGGCACUACUGUUGACCCGUGGCCCCCGAUAGGCCACUACUGCUGACCCGUGGCCCCCGAUAGGCCACUACUGCUGACCCGUGGCCCCCGAUAGGCCACUACUGCUGACCCGUGGCCCCCGAUAGGCCACUACUGCUGACCCGUGGCCCCCGAUAGGCCACUACUGCUGACCCGUGGCCCCCGAUAGGCCACUACUGCUGACCCGUGGCCCCCGAUAGGCCACUACUGUUGACCCGUGGCCCCCGUAGGGCACUACUGUUGAC
ensembl:lncRNA